UACGAAGGGUGCAAACGUUGCUCGGAAUCAUUGGGCGUAAAGCGCACGUAGGCGGCACACCAAGUCGGAUGUGAAAUCCCUCGGCUCAACCAAGGAAGUGCAUCCGAAACUGAGUAGCUAGAGUACGAAAGAGGGUCGCGGAAUUCCCGGUGUAGAGGUGAAAUUCGUAGAUAUCGAGAGGAAUACCUGUGGCGAAGGCGGCCAACUGGACGAGUACUGACACUGAGACACGAAAGCGUGGGGAGCAAACAGG
rnacentral:rRNA from 1 species